AGUGAUAUAACUCAGUUGGUAGAGUGCUUGUCUUUCACACACAAGGCCCUGGCUUUAUUCCCCAGUACCACCU
rnacentral:tRNA from 1 species